rnacentral:rRNA from 1 species
UGGGGAAUAUUGGACAAUGGGGGCAACCCUGAUCCAGCCAUGCCGCGUGAGUGAUGAAGGCCUUCGGGUUGUAAAGCUCUUUUGGCGGGGACGAUGAUGACGGUACCCGCAGAAUAAGCCCCGGCUAACUUCGUGCCAGCAGCCGCGGUAAGACGAAGGGGGCAAGCGUUGUUCGGAAUUACUGGGUGAAAAGGGCGCGUAGGCGGUUUGCUUAGUCAGGCGUGAAAGCCCUGGGCUUAACCUGGGAUGUGCGCUUGAUACUGGCAGGCUUGAGUGUUGGAGAGGUUGGUGGAAUUCCCAGUGUAGAGGUGAAAUUCGUAGAUAUUAGGAAGAACACCGGUGGCGAAGGCGGCCAACUGGACCGCAACUGACGCUGAGGCGCGAAAGCGUGGGGAGCAAACA